CGGCUCCAGCAUCUUUCCAGGAGGCUGCCUUGAACGCUCUUGAAAGUCAGCCACAGUAUUUUGAAUCACUGAGACAAGUUGGUUGUUUUAAAAAGCUGAUAGAAGAGGCAGGGGUGGUUGCUGUACCAGGUUGUGGAUUCUUCCACUCAAACACACUAGAUGAGGUUGGCGCUGCUUACUUCUAUCAUUACAGGUAUAUAAAGUUUGCUUUCUGUAAAAGUGAUUACACGUUAGCUGCCGCUACACAAAACCUGCGAGAGUUCGCUAAUAGGGCUGGCGCCUUUGAUCGCAGUGUAAGCUUAAAGUGCUAAUGUAUCUGAACCCUGCCAGUUGAGAACUGUAAAAUUUAUGAGCUAUAUUUUUCAAGUAGGAAUGUCUCUUUCCUGGAAAUCUUCCAAGCAUAGAAGACAUGUACAAUAGAGCUCUUAACCUUCAGCCUGCGCAUGUUAGUAGUAGUCAGUCACUAUUCCUGUUUUAAAUUUAAUUCUAGUAUGCCAAAAAUCACCUUAAGAAAGGAAAUAUAUGAAGACCUUGUAAAAAGGGUUUUUCUCAAGCCGGUAUCGUUCUCUCCUGUCUGAGCUACAAGCCUACAAGUGCAGCAGUAGGCAUCUUAAACUGACUUAAAACGGGAGCAGUUGGCCUCUUGAACUGAAUUUAACUUCUCAUGGGGUUUCACUUUUUCAAUGGAAAGUAACUCAACUGUACUGGAAGACAGAAACCAAAGGGCUUUGAAUUGCGCAUUCAGGCUGGGUCCGAGCGGGUACUACAGCAGUACAUUUAAACAGCAUGGCCCGUUUACAGAUAUUAUGGGCAACAGAGUUACGCUAGGACUGAUGCAACUGCAGGCUUUAUUAUUGUGGGAAAACUC